UGGCUAACUUGGUGAGCUAUUAGUAGUUAUUUUGCAAAGAUGUCUCCACAAACUGGGAGCUCGGGAAAGAGUCCCCGUGCACCUAUAGAGUCAACACUCAGAUCAGAUUACUGAAUAAGUGUAUGUCAUCUUCUCAUGCUGUUUCGGAUUUCUCACUCUGAGUUAAAAUGUUUGAUUAUUAGGUACGCGUACUGACAGCUCUGAACACGUAGACUGAGAUGAGCGCCGGGGCGCUGUCAUGUGCACAGUGGGAAGGGGAGAAAUGUCUAUUACGAUCGUCUAGAACGAGUGUGUAUCCAGUGUCAGAAAGAACAGGUUUUAAUAGUUUUACAGCCCUGCCGUCAGUAAACAAGAGAACAAUUUGGCCAAUAAUCACAGGCGGGCCCCUUCAUGCGUAACUUGGGAGAUACCACGGCUGCAGGCGCCACUGGAUCCAUGGAUGAAGCAUAUGGCAAUAAGCCGUACGUCUGAUGAACCGUGGAGACCACCUCAAACAGCACGUGACUGUGACGUAUUCCCCCAGCCUACAGCUAAGGCACAAACACAGCGAAGAGACAUAAAAGUCAUAAUCGGGGAAAAUGUCCACUUCCUGCAUUCAGUGCUAAUGUGACAUCAAACUGAAAGUUCGCAUUUUGACCAAAAACUGCGGCUCUUGAUCCUGUGUUUGUUUGAGACUUCUCUUCUCGAAACUGUCGGACGACACCAUAACAGCGCCGUGUGUGUGGGUGGACAGUGUACCCCUGCGAACCAUUCCCACCACAUCCCUGAUCUUCAAUGAAUAUACUAGGAGCCAUGCUGGUGGCAGUAUUGAAGCUAUACUUGAUUGGCACAGCUUUGAUGGUCGUGGCUGUCCUCUACGUGAUUGUGGACUCCGUGGGUGGACUAAUGUUUGCUCGGAAUCAGUACUACUUUCUGGAAUUACAUCAAGACGGAUGGGAACGGAGCAGAGAUGCUAACACAGAACCAGGAGCACUAUGCCACAGACCUCUUAUGACAAGGCCAUAAAUUAAUUACGUAUGAAAUCACUGCAGCCUACAUGAUUUACUGCAGGUAGUAGUCUGUUAGGUUACACAUCUUCGGAUUUGUCAGAUUUGUGAACUUAUGUGAACAGAUUUGUGAUAAUUGCAACUACUUGACAGCUUCAUGACUUGCACUAACUUUGUUUAAACUGUUUUACUACAAUGUUUAUAUUUACUGGAUUUAUUAAAUGUGAAAAUGGAAAGAACUUUCA